UACGGAGGGGGCGAGCGUUGUUCGGAGUUACUGGGCGUAAAGCGCACGUAGGCGGUGCGGUAAGUCAGGGGUUAAAGGCUGCAGCUCAACUGCAGUAAGGCCUUUGAUACUAUCGUGCUAGAGUGUCAGAGAGGAUGGCGGAAUUCCCGGUGUAGCGGUGAAAUGCGUAGAUAUCGGGAGGAAUACCAGUGGCGAAGGCGCCCUUCUGGACUGACACUGACACUGAGGUGCGAAAGCGUGGGUAGCAAACAGG
rnacentral:rRNA from 1 species